ACCCCCGUCAUCUUACUAAUGUUAUCAGACCUUUUUAACUUCAGAUCUCAAAACUGAAAAGAAAUAAUCUCUUCUGUAAACUCAUCUUUCGACAUUACAAUCACCUUCGCGCCGCCACCAACUCCGUCGCCACCAUUUCCAUCUCCUCCACUAUCAUCUCCAUCUCUAUCACCAUGAACAGUGAAAUAAACAAACCAGUUCCAGCGCCACCUCUUAUGCUACUACCAAAUACACCAGCAGCGACACCACCACCACUUCCAAAACAAUCGAUUUUAGAUCGAUUUUCACCCGAUUCAACUAGAAAUCGUAACCCUAGUGAUGAACCAACGCAAAAUCAAUCUCCAAAACCUAAUUUCAAGCAUCAGGUUCAUUUUGAUUUUCUACUAAAUUGUACAUGAUUCCCAUUUCAAACGUAAGUUUGGAUUUCAUUCUUCUUGCGAUCGAUAAUUGAUUCGGAUUAAGACCCUGUCAGAAUCUAUUGGUAAAACAUUGGACAAAGACUAGUCCGGAGAGGAAACAUAAAAUCUCAAUAAGCAGGUGACUAAUAUUAGCUCUCAUAUCAUCGUAGUGCCUGUACUUGUAUUAUUCUGUGAGUAACCUUGUAUUUCUUGAUUCAACAAUCUCAUUUGCUUGAAUAGUAUGGAUUUGAACUGCAAAAACAUUGAAGCAGUUAUAUUGGACGAACUUAUGGUAUAAUGGUAGCACACUGACUCCAUGUCAGAAGAUGCGUGUUUGAUUCACGCCAGGUUCACUAAUUUUAGCACAUCAAUAUUUGGGACCAACUUUGGUUUUUGACACCAUAUUUUGGGACCAACUUUGGCUGUUGACUCCAUGUUUCGGAAUCAACUCUGGUUGUCGACACCAUACAUAAUCCGAAGAUUUUUAGAAUUUUUAAUUUUUGUAUCAACUUUGGUAGUUGACACCACAUUUAGGUAUCAACUUCGGUUGUUGAUACCGUCAGCGGUGGCGGUGGCAGCGAUGGCGGUGCGGUGGUGGCGGCGGCGGCCGUGGUGGCAUUUCGGUGGUGGUGGUGACGGUUGGUAGGUGGUGGUGGUGGUGGUGGAUAUAUGGUGGUGCUAAUGGUGGUAGUGGCGGCGCUGGUGAGAUGAUGAUAGAAAAAAAAUGUUGUAUUUUGAAAUAAAGAUAAAUAUUAUAUGAGUGAGGGUAUUAAUGUAAUCUAUUUUUUAAGAUUUUUAAGUGAUAUGAUUAUAUUUAUUGUUGUAUAAGAAUAUAUUUGUUGGGUGUCAAAAUUAAGGGUAUACAAUUAAUGUAAAUUUUUUUUUU